rnacentral:rRNA from 1 species
CCCAGACUCCUACGGGAGGCAGCAGUGGGGAAUAUUGCGCAAUGGGGGGAACCCUGAUGCAGCGACGCCGCGUGGGUGAAGGAGCGCCUCGGUGCGUAAAGCCCUAUCGGCAGGGGAGAAACAGACGGUACCUGACUAAGAAGCCCCGGCUAACUACGUGCCAGCAGCCGCGGUAAUACGUAGGGGGCAAGCGUUAAUCGGAAUUACUGGGCGUAAAGCGCUCGUAGGCGGUAUGUCAAGUCAAGGGUGAAAUCCCCGCGCUCAACGUGGGAACUGCCUUUGAAACUGGCAAACUGGAGUGUGUGAGAGGAUAGUGGAAUUCCAGGUGUAGGAGUGAAAUCCGUAGAUAUCUGGAGGAACAUCAGUGGCGAAGGCGACUAUCUGGCACAUAACUGACGCUGAGGAGCGAAAGCGUGGGUAGCAAACAGGAUUAGAUACCCUAGUACCG